CAUCUGCGGCCAUAGAACCUUGAAAGCACCGCAUCCCGUC
rnacentral:rRNA from 3 species